UUUAUGGAGAGUUUGAUCCUGGCUCAGGAUGAACGCUGGCGGCGUGCCUAAUACAUGCAAGUCGAGCGAACGGACGAGAAGCUUGCUUCUCUGAUGUUAGCGGCGGACGGGUGAGUAACACGUGGAUAACCUACCUAUAAGACUGGGAUAACUUCGGGAAACCGGAGCUAAUACCGGAUAAUAUUUUGAACCGCAUGGUUCAAAAGUAAAAGACGGUCUUGCUGUCACUUAUAGAUGGAUCCGCGCUGCAUUAGCUAGUUGGUAAGGUAACGGCUUACCAAGGCAACGAUGCAUAGCCGACCUGAGAGGGUGAUCGGCCACACUGGAACUGAGACACGGUCCAGACUCCUACGGGAGGCAGCAGUAGGGAAUCUUCCGCAAUGGGCGAAAGCCUGACAGAGCAACGCCGCGUGAGUGAUGAAGGUCUUCGGAUCGUAAAACUCUGUUAUUAGGGAAGAACAUAUGUGUAAGUAACUGUGCACAUCUUGACGGUACCUAAUCAGAAAGCCACGGCUAACUACGUGCCAGCAGCCGCGGUAAUACGUAGGUGGCAAGCGUUAUCCGGAAUUAUUGGGCGUAAAGCGCGCGUAGGCGGUUUUUUAAGUCUGAUGUGAAAGCCCACGGCUCAACCGUGGAGGGUCAUUGGAAACUGGAAAACUUGAGUGCAGAAGAGGAAAGUGGAAUUCCAUGUGUAGCGGUGAAAUGCGCAGAGAUAUGGAGGAACACCAGUGGCGAAGGCGACUUUCUGGUCUGUAACUGACGCUGAUGUGCGAAAGCGUGGGGAUCAAACAGGAUUAGAUACCCUGGUAGUCCACGCCGUAAACGAUGAGUGCUAAGUGUUAGGGGGUUUCCGCCCCUUAGUGCUGCAGCUAACGCAUUAAGCACUCCGCCUGGGGAGUACGACCGCAAGGUUGAAACUCAAAGGAAUUGACGGGGACCCGCACAAGCGGUGGAGCAUGUGGUUUAAUUCGAAGCAACGCGAAGAACCUUACCAAAUCUUGACAUCCUUUGACAACUCUAGAGAUAGAGCCUUCCCCUUCGGGGGACAAAGUGACAGGUGGUGCAUGGUUGUCGUCAGCUCGUGUCGUGAGAUGUUGGGUUAAGUCCCGCAACGAGCGCAACCCUUAAGCUUAGUUGCCAUCAUUAAGUUGGGCACUCUAAGUUGACUGCCGGUGACAAACCGGAGGAAGGUGGGGAUGACGUCAAAUCAUCAUGCCCCUUAUGAUUUGGGCUACACACGUGCUACAAUGGACAAUACAAAGGGCAGCGAAACCGCGAGGUCAAGCAAAUCCCAUAAAGUUGUUCUCAGUUCGGAUUGUAGUCUGCAACUCGACUACAUGAAGCUGGAAUCGCUAGUAAUCGUAGAUCAGCAUGCUACGGUGAAUACGUUCCCGGGUCUUGUACACACCGCCCGUCACACCACGAGAGUUUGUAACACCCGAAGCCGGUGGAGUAACCUUUUAGGAGCUAGCCGUCGAAGGUGGGACAAAUGAUUGGGGUGAAGUCGUAACAAGGUAGCCGUAUCGGAAGGUGCGGCUGGAUCACCUCCUUUCU
rnacentral:rRNA from 1 species